ensembl:snRNA U6 U6 spliceosomal RNA
GUGCUCACUUCAGUAGCACAUAUACUAAAACUAGAACGAUACAGAGAAGAUUAGCAUGGUUUCUGUGCAAGGAUGACACGCAAAUUGGUGAAGCAUUCCAUAUUAAA